AGAAAUGGCAGAGAGAGAGGGAAGGAGGGAGGGAGAGAGAGAAAGAGGAAAAUCCCGGAGUCUAGCUAGAGACCACGAUUAAGCCUACACUCCCAGGAUCCUCUGAGCGCGAUGAUGGGGUCGGCCCCCGGAGAAAAGUGUGUAAGUUCGUCGCGCUCCCUCCUGGGAAUUGUAGUCUCCGUGGAGAGAGGCGGGAAUUAUACGUAGCUGAUCCGUAACCAAUAACGAAGCUAAGAACUUAGAACGGUAGUAGCUGUACCCAAUAGACGCACGGCAUUAAGAGGGCGGGACUUCCGUCAAAGACCAUGGUGAGAGCCUGCGCGGAGGAUCACACUUCCUUUUGUGAGUGGCAGUGAACGAGCACGCACUGCUAUGAAGGCGUCGGGCACGGUAAGAAGGCUGCGGCGGGGCCAGAAGCGCGGCGUUGGCGGCGGGGCCGCUCAGGUUGACUGUGUCCUCCGGGAUGAUAGUGCGUUCGGCCGCCAGGGUCCCUCACCGGUCACGGGCUGCUCUCUUCGCCCACAGACUCCCCAGGCCAAUAUGGCGGCCGC
rnacentral:lncRNA from 1 species